UACGAAGGGGGGCUAGCGUUGCUCGGAAUUACUGGGCGUAAAGGGCGCGUAGGCGGACAGUUUAGUCAGAGGUAAAAGCCCAGGGCUCAACCUUGGAACUGCCUUUGAUACUGACUGUCUUGAGUUCGGGAGAGGUGAGUGGAAUGCCGAGUGUAGAGGUGAAAUUCGUAGAUAUUCGGCGGAACACCAGUGGCGAAGGCGACUCACUGGCCCGAUACUGACGCUGAGGCGCGAAAGCGUGGGGAGCAAACAG
rnacentral:rRNA from 1 species